ACCUGUCUGGCUCAGUCAAAAGAGCAUGAGGCUCUUGAUCUUGGGUGGGGUCAUGGGUUCAAACCCCAUGUUGAGUG
rnacentral:tRNA from 1 species